UUAAGGGCAUUCUGGGCAUCAUUAUCAUGUUUUAAAUUAUGUCCUCUCUUCUGAUCUCAGUUUGCAGCUCAGUGGGUUUUAAGGAUUGUUGGGACUCCUCUAAUCGGUGGUGUGAGGCCUGUGGAGCAGCUAAUGGAACAUCACGACUAUGCUGACUUCCCCAGGGUCUUACGGUCAUUUCUGUUUCACCAGCAGAUCUGGGUGGCAGCAGAGAGCUGCAGCGCUCCCGAGUGCUGUAACGACUGCACGGAGAGAUGUGCGGAUCUUCACGGGAACAGCAAGGAACCGAAAGCUGCAUUUCCUGGGAUGCCCUGGAACUCCACUUUGCUGACUGGUAAUUGUCUGCCCAGCAGGUGGCAGCAGAGAGCUGCAGCGCUCCCGAGUGCUGUAAUGACUGCACGGAGAGAUGUGCGGAUCUUCACGGGAACAGCAAGGAACCGAAAGCUGCAUUUCCUGGGAUGCCCUGGAACUCCACUUUGCUGACUGGUAAUUGUCUGCCCAGCAGUGCUAAUCUGAUGCAACGCCCUCAGCAAACUUACCAAAGGUGCACUCCAUGCCAUCAGGCAGGUCUUCAAUGAAGAUAUUGGACAGAACAGGCCUGAAGAGCACUCAGGAUGGCAUACCAGCUGCAUUUAACACGAUCGAGCAGCACUCAUUAGGCCAGGCGGUUCAGCUAGUUCUUCAUCUAGCAAGCAACGUACCCGUCCAAGUAGCCGGCUGCAAUCUUUGAGAGAAUUUCAAGGGAUAGCACAUCAAAGGGUUUGCCUCACUCAUGGGGUUGGGUCAUCUUCACUUUGAGUUUGCUAGCGUGGCUGACCCUAAUCCCGUAACUGACAUCCUGUAGCUGGACAGGGACCAUUUGCACUCCAUCCAGGCUGUUUGAGACUCACGGCCAUGCUGAGAGUCACACUGAUUUCAGCGUGUGCAGUCAUUUUGCAUCAACCCAAUUGGCUUUAGCUUUACAAAUAAUUUAUCUCAACCAAAUUGGCUUUAGCUUUGCAGUUAAUGCAUUGCAAAUAAGUUGGCUUUAGCUUUGCCUUGCUUACGGG
ensembl:lncRNA